rfam:Echinostoma caproni strain Egypt genome assembly, scaffold: ECPE_scaffold0031652
GGCCUCGUAGCUCAGCAGUUAGAGCAUGCGCGUACAAAGCGAAGGUGGCGUCUUUGCGUGGGUUCAAAUCCCACUGAGCUUA